rnacentral:ncRNA from 1 species
CUCAUCAAGAGUGGCGGAGGGACAGGCCCUGUGAAGCCCGGCAACCGGAGAAAAUUCGGUGCCAAAUCCUGCGGCGCAAGCUGAGAGAUGAG